UACGAGAGGUGCAAGCGUUUAUUCGGAAUUAUUGGGCGUAAAGGGCGCGUAGGCGGGUCAUUAAGUUUGUUGUUAAAUCCUCUGGCUUAACCAGAGACAAGCAAUAAAAACUGGUAACCUAGAGCGUGAGAGAGAGAAGUGGAAUUCCCGGAGUAGCGGUAAAAUGCGUAGAUCUCGGGAGGAACACCAAUGGCGAAGGCUGCUUCUUGGCUCAUUGCUGACGCUGAGGCGCGAAAGCGUGGGGAGCAAACAGG
rnacentral:rRNA from 1 species